GGAGACACAAACAUUUGGACCAAAGCCCCUAAUAUUUAAACAUUUUUAAAAAAGAUGUUACUUAUUUUGAGAGAGAAAGAGCACAUACAAUAGUGGAGACACAAGAUAAAAAGAAUCUGGAUCAUCAAAUUACCAUGUGGAUGCCAACCAUCAAUUUCCUGAAACAUCUACAGUACUCUGUAGCUACUGAGUCUCAAACUUUCAUUAGUAAAUUCUAUCAGGUGAUACACCGUUUGCUAAACACCACCACUUCUCUCAUCUCAUCUUUCAAAAGACCUCAAUUAAGCAAUGAAAAGUCUGUAUUGAAAUUUUUGAAAAAUAUAUUGAAGAAAGGACCAAGGAAUAACACCUCCAGGACAGUAAACUGAUUUAAAAGAAAAUGGUCUUUCAUAUGAUUUAUAAAUAUCCAUGAGACUAAGGCCAAAUAAAGAAAGC
rnacentral:lncRNA from 12 species